rnacentral:rRNA from 1 species
UACGUAGGGGGCGAGCGUUGUCCGGAUUUAUUGGGCGUAAAGAGCUCGUAGGCGGUUUGGCAAGUCGGGUGUGAAAACUCCGGGCUCAACUCGGAGACGCCACUCGAUACUGCUAUGACUCGAGUCCGGUAGGGGAGUGCGGAAUUCCUGGUGUAGCGGUGAAAUGCGCAGAUAUCAGGAGGAACACCGGUGGCAAAGGCGGCACUCUGGGCCGGUACUGACGCUGAGGAGCGAAAGCGUGGGGAGCGAACAGG